CAUGCAGCCCAGAAGGGUGGGGGAAAGAAAAAGAAUUAGGAGAAAAUGUUGUAAAAGUAAUGAGAUAAUAUGAGAAUGUGCUUUGGGAACUGCGAAUCUGGAGUCACUGGUCCAUGAGGAAUCUAGGAUAAGAAGAAGGAAGCUGUGAAGAAUGGUUGGCUAACAGUGCUGGCAAGGAAUUCAGAUCAACAUACCUCUCAAAAGAAUGGAAGUCUCUUAAACUCAGGAUUUGGAUUGCCAUGGGAACUUUUCAGAAUGGACUUUCACAAAAGCUUUGCUCUGAGAGCAUGGAAGUUGGCUACAACGUUGCCUGGGAACAAUACAAAGGAGGAUGGUUUUGAAUGUCAGUAACUUUUCUGAAUAUCCAGCCUACAAAAUAAAACUUUUUCUCAGAAUAAAGGAGGCACAGAGAAGUUAUACAAAUUGUCCUGGCACAAAAAACUGAUAAGACUUAAGCCCAGGAGUACUGGCCCAAGAAGAUAUUAGGUUGGUACAAAAGUAAUUCUGGGUUUUGCAUUGUUGGAAUUUGCCGUUUGAUAUU
rnacentral:lncRNA from 1 species